rnacentral:lncRNA from 1 species
AACCGUUGAGCCAUCUCUCCUGCGCUGUGAAAGAGCUUCGAAAGAAAUCUCAUUCCUCAUAGGAUAAACCAUGUCUUCAUUCAUUCAUGUUGCCUAAGAAAAUGGAUCUUAUAAAAAUGUUUUAGAUUUAUUCAUUUACUCAUUUUGCCUGAUGUAUGCGCACCACAUGUGUGUGUGGCACCUACCAAUAUCCGAGGAAGACAUAUCAUGGAUGCUGAAGUUAUGGAUGGCCAUGAGCUACCAUGUCAGUGCUAAGGACCAAAUCUGUGACCUGCGAGGGCAGCCAACGUUCGUAACCUCUGUCAGAACUGUAUGUGCAGAGAACGUCUAUGUGAACAUGAGGAAGAAAGACGAUGGAAAGGUCACCUGCCCAGAAAGGAAAAGUUGACUAUGAAACCUUAAAAAAGAAAGCAGGUGAUAUUUGAGUAUGUGUAAUAUAAAAUGGCUCCAACAACAUC